rnacentral:rRNA from 1 species
UUAAAUUGAAGAGUUUGAUCAUGGCUCAGAUUGAACGCUGGCGGCAGGCCUAACACAUGCAAGUCGAACGGUAACAGGAAGCAGCUUGCUGCUUUGCUGACGAGUGGCGGACGGGUGAGUAAUGUCUGGGAAACUGCCUGAUGGAGGGGGAUAACUACUGGAAACGGUAGCUAAUACCGCAUAACGUCGCAAGACCAAAGAGGGGGACCUUCGGGCCUCUUGCCAUCGGAUGUGCCCAGAUGGGAUUAGCUAGUAGGUGGGGUAAAGGCUCACCUAGGCGACGAUCCCUAGCUGGUCUGAGAGGAUGACCAGCCACACUG